GGCGCCUGGGUGGCGCAGUCGGUUAAGCGUCCGACUUCAACCAGGUCACGAUCUCGCGGUCCGUGAGUUCGAGCCCCGCGUCGGGCUCUGGGUUGAUGGCUCGGAGCCUGGAGCCUGUUUCCGAUUCUCCUGGAGCCUGUUUCCGAUUCUGUGUCUCCCUCUCUCUCUGCCCCUCCCCCAUUCAUGCUCUGUCUCUCUCUGUCCCAAAAAUAAAUAAAUGUUGAAAAAAAAAUU